rnacentral:rRNA from 1 species
AAAUGAAUUGACGGGGACCCGCACAAGCAGCGGAGCAUGUGGUUUAAUUCGAUGCAACGCGAAGAACCUUACCAGGACUUGACAUCCCUCAGACCGUCUUAGAGAUAAGACUUUCUCUUCGGAGACUGAGGUGACAGGUGGUGCAUGGUUGUCGUCAGCUCGUGUCGUGAGAUGUUGGGUUAAGUCCCGCAACGAGCGCAACCCUUGUCUUUAGUUGCAAACAGUUAGGCUGUGCACUCUAGAGAGACUGCCGAUGAGAAAUCGGAGGAAGGUGGGGAUGACGUCAAAUCAUCAUGCCCUUUAUGUCCUGGGCUACACACGUGCUACAAUGGUUGGUACAAUGGGCAGCCACUUAGCGAUAAGGAGCUAAUCCCAUAAAACCAAUCUCAGUUCGGAUUGCAGGCUGCAACUCGCCUGCAUGAAGCCGGAGUUGCUAGUAAUCGUGGAUCAGAAUGCCACGGUGAAUGCGUUCCCGGGUCUUGUACACACCGCCCGU